rnacentral:rRNA from 1 species
AUGAGUGCUCUUGAAAAAGCAUUGAGAAGAUAUGCUGAGAAGAAAACUGACACUGUAAUAGUGCCUGCAGUAGGAAGCACGUCUCAUUCACUUGGAGAAGCUUAUGACUAUUACAAUUUGUAUUCCUGGGAGAUUGGAUUUGGGGUAAGAUAUGGCAAGAGCAGGCUUAAUGUUGAAAGGACAAAAUGCAUGCAAGAGAUAGUAUGUGGCUGCUCGGGGAUUCCGAAGAAAAGCAACACCCGGACUUGCUGGUGCAGGUGCCCCGCGCUCAUACAAUUGCUUCGAUCAAAGGACAAUGGAUGGUACAUAAGUGAGUUCAUAUCAUCACACAACCAUUCGUUAAUGGAGAAGUGUGGCGGGAAGGUGUACUUGUCGUGCUCACAGAUCAAUGCAAGGCGAUGGAAGUAG